rnacentral:rRNA from 1 species
UACGAGCGGCCCAAACGUUAUUCGGAAUUACUGGGCUUAAAGAGUUCGUAGGCGGCAUGAAAAGUAGGGUGUGAAAGCCCUCGGCUCAACCGGGGAAUUGCGCUCUAAACUGUCGUGCUAGAGGAAGCUAGAGGUGAGCGGAACUGAUGGUGGAGCGGUGAAAUGCGUUGAUAUCAUCAGGAACACCGGAGGCGAAGGCGGCUCACUGGGGCUUUUCUGACGCUGAGGAACGAAAGCCAGGGUAGCGAACGGG